AUUUAAAUAGUUUAAUAAAAAUAUUGAUUUGUGGGAUCAAAGAUAUUAUAAUAAUUUUAGAUA
rnacentral:tRNA from 1 species